rnacentral:rRNA from 1 species
AUGACGACCACCGACAUCGGGCCCACGUGCCAGCCAGUGGAAGCGUCCUUUUUUAACCACGCGUGCAGCGGGGUCGGCCUCAUCCACUUCUCCCGUCCACAUCUGCCCCCCCCACCACUCCCUUUGCUUCUUCGUCGGCGACCGCAAACCCUAGCCAUGGGCCUCUUCGGCAGCAGCAAUGGCAAGGGCAAGGGCACCCCCGGCGCCUCGUCCUCCCGUGCUCCCCUUCCCCCUCGUCCUCCUCCGGCGGCGACGCGUUUCCGCCCUGGCCGCCGGCGCCUGCACAUCCCGAUGCACCAAGCGCGGUGGCACUGGGAGUACAGGUGGCCAUUGCCGUACCCCGAUGUCACGCUGCCGCAUCGUUGGCAUCUGGAUCCGCAGCGGAUCCCGGUGCCGGCGGUUCCUCGUACCCAGCGGGCGCACGACGACGAGGUGCGCAGGCGCCGCGCGCAGCUCAUGCCGGAGCAGCGUCGGCUGCCAGAGUACGCCGCCGACUCCCCCAACUGGGAGGCUUGGUUCGCCCUCGAACACGAGGAGCAACGGCGCUCGGGUGUCGACGCCGUCCCGCCGCCGUUUCCAUCGCCGGCCCCGUAG